CCUACGGGAGGCUGCAGUGAGGAAUAUUGGUCAAUGGGCGAGAGCCUGAACCAGCCAAGUCGCGUGAAGGAUGAAGGACCUAUGGUUUGUAAACUUCUUUUAUAUGGGAAUAAAGUGAGGCACGUGUUCCUUUUUGUAUGUACCUUAUGAAUAAGCAUCGGCUAACUCCGUGCCAGCAGCCGCGGUAAUACGGAGGAUCCGAGCGUUAUCCGGAUUUAUUGGGUUUAAAGGGUGCGUAGGUGGUUAAUUAAGUCAGCGGUGAAAGUUUGUGGCUCAACCAUAAAAUUGCCGUUGAUACUGGUUGACUUGAGUGUAUUUGAGGUAGGCGGAAUGCGCGGGGUAGCGGUGAAAUGCUUAGAUAUCGCGCAGAACCCCGAUUGCGAAGGCAGCGUACCGGCUCCACACUGACGCUGAGGCACGAAAGCGUGGGUAUCGAACAGGAUUAGAUACCCUGGUAGUC
rnacentral:rRNA from 1 species